rfam:Spirochaetes bacterium GWC1_61_12 gwc1_scaffold_8322, whole genome shotgun sequence.
GCCGGGGUGGUGGAAUGGUAGACACCAGGGACUUAAAAUCCCUUACUGCGCAAGCGGUGUGCGAGUUCAAGUCUCGUCCCCGGCA